CCACUCCUGACUUUAUCAGGAAUCAGAUCACCAUUCCGGGCGAGGUCUGGAGCAGCGGGGCCGUGUGCACGUGCGUAGUGGAAACAGAGAGCGGGCGCAAUAUGAGCAAAAGCGUGAGCAAGACCGAUGCAGAUUGCUUUCCUUCGGUCUGGCGGUAUGUCUUCAUCUCCGGUGUUCUCGUUGCGAUGUGGAUACACUUUGCUGUAGUUCACUGGAACUAUAACAAGCAAAGACGGCGUUUUCAAGAGGAAAGAUGAAGCAAUGGAAAUGCAUUUAACUAAACACGUCCUUUUCUUUAUUUGAAUACAGCCUUGCUUCUGUCAUAUUGAACUUCACUUCCAUUCUCAAAGUAUUACAAGAGUGCAUUAAAGGCAUUGAAGAUGCACCAGAUCAUACAUUCAAUUGAGAUCUUGACACUAGUGCUUAAUGUUUUGUAUAUGCAAGUAGACUUCGUUAUCUUCACAGUAAAGAGCUUGGUAAUGUUCCCACUGUGUACAAGUAAAGAAAAAAAAAACGAAUAAAAUACCUGAAUUCAACACUUUGUUGUUGUUGCAUGUUUUACUAACUCACACAGAAAAAAACACAUGUUUGAAAUGUAUUGCACAUUAAAAACAUGUCUU